rnacentral:lncRNA from 1 species
CCUUAAAGGACAUUGGCAAUAAAAAAUUAGUUUAGUUCAUUUGAAAGAACUCUUAAAACUAUAUAUUAAACUCUAUUACAGAUUGUUUAUAUCUUGCUUAGUUUUCAAAAUAUUUCGACUGAAAAAAGUGAGCUGUUCGCCAUCUUGGAUUAUUGAGGAUAUGCAUGUUACGUCAAGAGAGGGGUCACGCUAAGUUUUUAUCUUGAGAGUAAGCGAUCAAUAUGGGUCCAAAACCUCGUUUCUGGUUGCUGUCAGAAAUUUAGAAAUGAUUAAAAACAUUUCAAACAAUUUUG